rnacentral:lncRNA from 1 species
CUACCAAUCGUGUGAAGAAAAUAUUUUUUUCGUUAAAUCUCUUGUGAGUGAUAUAUUAUGACUUCACAAUAUUUCAAUUGCGCGCACCUUCUGUGACGCCCCCAAAAUAGGUAUACAUCACCCAUCUUGGGUCGCUAGAAAAUCCACUAUUGAUAACUUUAUUUAUACAGCUGUCGUGCAGAGUACGAUCGUACAUAUGCUAUGAGUUUCAAUACAAAUAUUAUAGCGUAUAUAAUACGACAAUAUUCAUAUUUAAAUUAUUACAUGCCAUAUAAAGUACAACAGCAAAUAUUUCAAGUCUCCAAGGGACGCGAGAAGAUUUUUGUUCUCCUCAUUUUAAUGUGGUAUAUUUUUGACGCUUUCAAGGUCGGAUCCUCGUUGUCCUAUAGUUGUUCACCAAAAUCAAUCAGUAAAUGAUGUAUAAAAUAUGUCACACACAUUUUAAGUUCUCAAUAUAAUUAUUAUGCCACACCGUUUCAUAAUUUGAUUAGGCUUAUGACUAAUUCGUAUCACCACUUUAUACCCGUGUUCUCCCUGCUAGUCCCAGCUACACUUUUAUUACCUGAAAGGGGUGGUGAAGUAAAAGGGUGAGCACAAAUAGCCCAGUAAAGAAUAUCAUGACUUAAGAUAAUUAAAUUAUCAAAAGAAUUCAGAUAUUUAGAACAUAUGGUAGAAGAUAAAAGUUUUCAAUCAUAAUAGUAGCGGAAUCAACAAUCCAUUAGAAGAGUCAAGUAGAACAUAAUGUCUACUAUCUCCUCUAGAUUAAAAGUCCAUCAUUAAUAUUUCAUUCAUGUAAUAUUCAUCAACAGUUCUUUGUUAUACCCAAGACAAAAAGAACUCUCAUCACCUGUCUUCACCUGAACCACCACAGAUUAUAAUUAAAUUCACAAUUCAUAUUUAUAAUCAGGUAAAUCAACAAUUCAUACAACUGUAAAACCAAUAACCAACAGUCCAUCUUUGCACUAUAAGCCAAAGAUAUACAACUGUAAAACCAAUUAUCCAGCUUAAUAGUAUCACGACCACGAAUUAUCCAUGCACUACGAGCCAAAGAUAUUCGUGUUUUCAAUUACGAUCAUGAUUAUACCGAAUAAUCCCUGAUCAUAAUCAUACCAAGUCCAUCUAUGCACUACGGGCCAAAGAUGACUUUUAACACAUCAUUUGUAACAUUACGGUCAUGAUUAUACCGAAUAAUCCCUGGUCAUAAUCAUACCAAGUCCAUCCAUGCACUACUGGCCAUAGAUGACUUUCAUCAUAAUAUAAGCAUGAGAAUGAUGACAAUGAUAUAUAUAAUGAAUAAACAUAUAUCAUCAGAAUAAUAAGAUAACAUAGAUCUUAGUGAUUUUCAACUUAAUUAUCCAGAGUCCAAAUUAAUAACAUAAUAAUAGAUGAAUCACAAACUAUUAGGGAUAUUCUAAUCCUUUCAGAACUUUUCACCAUUUAAUGAUAAACUGAAUAAACGAAUAAUAAUAUCUUACCAUAACAUGGAGUAUGAAAGAAAAUGAUAUUCUUUUUACCAGAAAAUGAUACCCUCUUACCACAAUAAUGAUAUUCCUUACCUUAGCAUGUGACUUGAUUCUGCUUUUUGUGAAAUUGAUCAACUUAAACAAUGCUUGCAUUCCUUAUCUACACUUGGAGUAACAUUUCACUCAAUAGAAAUACUCACAAUAUUAUACUCACAAUAUUGUAGUAAAAUAAUUCUAUAUUUUUAGUGUAGUGAUGGUGUCUCACUCAACCGAGCAACGUCUAUUUAUACUGAAAAUUUAGUAAACAACUAGCACACCCACUUUGACAAAAUAUCCAAAUGUGGUAUAUAAUAAUGGUAGUGGAAUGUAUGGUCCCACAGAGAAAAUUAAACCAACUUGUACCAGUUUUAACAAAAUUUAUUCAAUAAUAGAGUUGUGGUCCAUCCUACUUUAGAAAAAAUAGAGUGUCGGCACGUCCUGCCAAACUUACUUUUGUAAAAAGAAAAUAAUUGAACAAAUAUAUGUAUAUCAUACUUAUCUUUAUUCAACACCUUUUAUUCAUCAAUUAUUUACACAUUUUUAAUCUUUCAAUAAUUAUUCACAAUUAUUAACAUAGACUCGCAAUACUUCCAACUUGUAUAGUUAUAUCAUAUCAAAUAAUAUGAGUCACUGUGUAAUAACUAUUGUGACAAUUAUUGAAUAAAAGACUGAGUGACUUCUUACGUAAUUAAGAAUCAAUAAUAUGAAUCACUGUGGAAUAAUUACUGUGACAAUUAUUGAAUGAAAUAUAUGGUGACAUCUUGCGUAAGAAUCAAAUCAAUACCUUACUAUAAACAAUUUAAAUUCUAUUAAAAGUAGGAAUCAACACCAAAUCAUAUUUAUCUCGAAUAACAUAUAUAUAAACCAACUAACAAUUCAUUAUUCAUUCAAGUUGUCUUUAUUUAUCGCACAAAAUCAUUAUUCAUAUUCCAAAACUUUAGAAGUGAAUAAUAAAACUUGAGAAAUAUAAAAACUCAUAUAUGACAAUCCAUUAUUCUAAUAUUAUCACCAUUUUUAUUUUAACAAAAAUAUUAUUUUUGUUUUUAUCAUAACUCAUUCAUUACUAGUGCGUUUACAUUCCCACACCUCAUGAGCUUACUAACACUUCAAAAAUAUUUAGAAAAUAUGAUUCUGAACUUUCCAAAUAAUUUUCAUAUUUUUCAUAUUAUCCAACAAUUUUCUAUAAUUAUUUCUAUUUAUAAAAACUAUCAUUUAAUAGCUUCAAAAUAGAAAUACUAACUCCACAUACUUUUAUAUCUUUAAAACAUCAUCAAUAUUAAUAUUAUAUUAUUAUAAUAUUUUUCAGCAAAAAUCAUAAUUUUCCACCAUUCAUAGAAUUUCCUAUGAAUUUCCUCUAUUUUUAAACUAACCAUAAAUAGCUUAAAAAUACAAUAAAUAUUUCUGUUAUUCAGUAAUUUUCCAAAACAACCCAGAAAUUAUAAAACAAUAUUAUACCAUUUUCACCAAGUUUCAUAAUUUUUCAUCAUUCAUAGAAUUUUCUAUGAAUUUCUUCUAUUUUCAAACUAACUAUAAAUAGUUUAAAAAAUACAAUAAUUACUUCUGCUUUUCAAUAAUGCAUCAAAAUUUUACAGAAAUUCUAAGAUGAUAUUAUAAGCAUUCUGUAAAAAUAUUUCAACCCAAAUAAUUUUUCUGAUAAAUUAAUUAUAAACUCCAAUAUUCAGAAAUUUCAAUAAUUCACAAUAAUUAGCACUUUUAUCAGAAAAAAAAAUACAGAUCUUAUGUGCUUCCAUGUAAAAUUUAAUUCUCUACAACUUUGUAGAAGAAAGUUUUCCCAAAUUUUGACUCUAACAUAGAGAGAAAGGCAUACCGAAAUAUUAUGUUUGAUAAUUUUCGAACCAGUCACCUUACGAAAUUCACAAUAGAUUAUAUAUUAAUCUUUAACGAUUCAAACUUUGUGGACAUAUACUUAACUUAUAUAUGCAUAACAUAUCCGAAAAUCACAACGAUCCAACGGUCGGAUUAAAAAUUAUAACUCACGCAAUAAAGCAUAAUAAAACUGAUUUUUCGGACUAUAAGUCCUUCGGACCAAUUUCACUCAAACUGUCACCACGAAAAAUCUACAAAUAAUUUUAGGGUGAUUCAAAUUUCUGCACUUAGCUUACUUCUAGGGCUUUCGUUUGAUAUAUGGCUCAUCUUCUAACUCAUUAUACACAAAGAGUUACGGAUUUUACAAAAUCAAGUAGUAAACUAAUUUUUCAUGAAAAUUUCCAAAUUUCGUUUUUCACUUGAUUUCUUGAUUUCUCUCAUUUGAUUCAUGUUUAUGCAAGUUUAAAUCAUCCAAUACAUACAUGAGUAUGUACUCUUUACAUAAAAUCUAUAAACUAAAAUAAUCAAGAUUUUUGAAAAUACCUGAUUUCUUCAUUUCUUUCUUUCUUCUUCUUCUUCUCCUCUUCCUUCUCUUCCUUCUCCUCUUUCUAUUCCCUCUCUCUCUCUCUCUCUUUUAUUUUGUUGAUAACUCCCGUGACUAAAAAUGAAUGGGUGAGAAUGGAGUAUCCUUCUUUUAUUUCUCUUUUUCUUCCUUCCUUU